rnacentral:rRNA from 1 species
CCUACGGGUGGCUGCAGUGGGGAAUCUUGCACAAUGGGGGAAACUCUGACGCAGCGACGCCGCGUGAGUGAAGAAGUAUCUCGGUACGUAAAGCUCUAUCAGAAGAGAAGAAAAAGACGGUACCUGGCAAAGACGCACCGGCUAACUACGUGCCAGGAGCCGCGGUGAUAAGUACGGGGCAACCGGUACCCUGAUUUACUGGGGGGAAAGGGUGCGUGGACGACUGCAAUAGGUUGGAGGUACAUCCCGGGGGUUAACCCCGGAACUGCUUUGGAAACUGUGCGGCUGGAGUGCAGGAGGGGUAAGCGGAAUUCCUAGUGUAGCGGUGAAAUGCGUAGAUAUAAGGAGGAACACCGGUGGCGAAAGCGGCUUACUGGACUGUAACUGACGUUGAGGCUCGAAAGCGUGGGGAGCAAACAGGAUUAGAUACCCUGGUAGUC